rnacentral:rRNA from 1 species
GAUGAACGCUGGCGGCGUGCCUAAUACAUGCAAGUCGAGCGAACAGACGAGGAGCUUGCUCCUCUGACGUUAGCGGCGGACGGGUGAGUAACACGUGGAUAACCUACCUAUAAGACUGGGAUAACUUCGGGAAACCGGAGCUAAUACCGGAUAAUAUAUUGAACCGCAUGGUUCAAUAGUGAAAGACGGUUUUGCUGUCACUUAUAGAUGGAUCCGCGCCGCAUUAGCUAGUUGGUAAGGUAACGGCUUACCAAGGCAACGAUGCGUACCCGACCUGAGAGGGUGAUCGGCCACACUGGAACUGAGACACGGUCCAGACUCCUACGGGAGGCAGCAGUAGGGAAUCUUCCGCAAUGGGCGAAAGCUUGACGGAGCAACGCCGCGUGAGUGAUGAAGGUCUUCGGAUCGUAAAACUCUGUUAUUAGGGAAGAACAAAUGUGUAAGUAACUAUGCACGUCUUGACGGUACCUAAUCAGAAAGCCACGGCUAACUACGUG